rnacentral:rRNA from 1 species
UUCUCCAAACUCGAUCAUUUAGAGGAAGUAAAAGUCGUAACAAGGUCUCCGUUGGUGAACCAGCGGAGGGAUCAUUG